UGCAAGUCGAACGCGAAAGUCCCCUUCGGGGGACAAGUAGAGUGGCGCACGGGUGAGUAACACGUAGGUAAUCUACCUUUGGAUGGGGAAUAACAACCGGAAACGGUUGCUAAUACCGCAUAAUGCAGCGGCACCUAAUGGUGACAGUUGUUAAAGCGGGGGAUCGAAAGACCUCGCGUCUGAAGAGGAGCCUGCGGCGGAUUAGCUAGUUGGUAAGGUAAUGGCUUACCAAGGCUACGAUCCGUAACCGGCCUGAGAGGGCGGUCGGUCACACUGACACUGACAUACGGGUCAGACUCCUACGGGAGGCAGCAGUCGGGAAUUUUGGGCAAUGGGCGAAAGCCUGACCCAGCAACGCCGCGUGAAGGAUGAAAUCCCUCGGGAUGUAAACUUCGCAAGAACGGGAAGAAUUAGUAGGGGUCAAUACCCCCUAUGAUGACGGUACCGUUUGUAAGCUCCGGCUAACUCCGUGCCAGCAGCCGCGGUAAUACGGGGGGAGCAAGCGUUGUUCGGAUUUACUGGGCGUAAAGGGCGCGUAGGCGGCCAGCACAAGUCAGUUGUGAAAUCUCCGAGCUUAACUCGGAAAGGUCAACUGAUACUGUGCGGCUAGAGUGCAGAAGGGGCAACUGGAAUUCUUGGCGUAGCGGUGAAAUGCGUAGAUAUCAAGAGGAACACCUGCGGCGAAGGCGGGUUGCUGGGCUGACACUGACGCUGAGGCGCGAAAGCUAGGGGAGCGAACGGGAUUAGAUACCCCGGUAGUCCUAGCCUUAAACGAUGAAUGCUUGGUGUCUGGGGUUAUAAAGUCCCCGGGUGCCGUCGCUAACGCUUUAAGCAUUCCGCCUGGGGAGUACGGUCGCAAGACUGAAACUCA
rnacentral:rRNA from 1 species